rnacentral:rRNA from 1 species
GUAGACGUGAGAGUCGAGGGGUAGCAGAGGAGCUUGCUCUUGCUGACGACCGGCGCACGGGUGCGUAACGCGUAUACAAUCUGCCUUACACUAAGGGAUAGCCCAGAGAAAUUUGGAUUAACACCUUAUAGUUUAUUUUUAUGGCAUCAUUUAAAUAAUAAAGUUUACGGUGUAAGAUGAGUAUGCGUCCCAUUAGUUUGUUGGUAAGGUAACGGCUUACCAAGACUACGAUGGGUAGGGGCCCUGAGAGGGGGAUCCCCCACACUGGUACUGAGACACGGACCAGACUCCUACGGGAGGCAGCAGUGAGGAAUAUUGGACAAUGGAGGAGACUCUGAUCCAGCCAUGCCGCGUGCAGGAAGACGGUCCUAUGGAUUGUAAACUGCUUUUAUACAGGAAGAAUAAGGACUACGUGUAGUCUGGUGACGGUACUGUAAGAAUAAGGACCGGCUAACUCCGUGCCAGCAGCCGCGGUAAUACGGAGGGUCCGAGCGUUAUCCGGAAUUAUUGGGUUUAAAGGGUCCGUAGGCGGGCUGUUAAGUCAGGGGUGAAAGUUUGCAGCUCAACUGUAGAAUUGCCUUUGAUACUGAUGGUCUUGAAUUAUUGUGAAGUGGUUAGAAUAUGUAGUGUAGCGGUGAAAUGCAUAGAUAUUACAUAGAAUACCGAUUGCGAAGGCAGAUCACUAACAAUUGAUUGACGCUGAUGGACGAAAGCGUGGGUAGCGAACAGGAUUAGAUACCCUGGUAGUCCACGCCGUAAACGAUGGAUACUAGCUGUUUGGAUUUCGAUCUGAGCGGCCAAGCGAAAGUGAUAAGUAUCCCACCUGGGGAGUACGUUCGCAAGAAUGAAACUCAAAGGAAUUGACGGGGGCCCGCACAAGCGGUGGAGCAUGUGGUUUAAUUCGAUGAUACGCGAGGAACCUUACCAGGGCUUAAAUGUAGAUUGACAGGUUUAGAGAUAGACUUUUCUUUCGGGCAAUUUACAAGGUGCUGCAUGGUUGUCGUCAGCUCGUGCCGUGAGGUGUCAGGUUAAGUCCUUUAACGAGCGCAACCCCUGUUGCUAGUUACCAGCACAUUAAUGGUGGGGAACUCUAGCAAAAAUGGCC